rnacentral:sRNA from 1 species
ACCGCCCACCACCCGCUGCCCACCGCCCGCCGCGUCAUCUGUUCGAUUUACAGGCUGGUAAAUUUUCGUAUUUUCAAAUUUCCUAUUUGAAGUCUUUCAUAAUCGCAGAACCAUUUAAAUGCUAAUUAUUGCGUGUAAAAAUAGAUUUCUGUUUUUAAAUCGAAGCAAAUAGGAUUUGCAUGUGCGACGGGUUGUAAAGCCUGAUUUAUUUUCCAACCCAAUGGCCAAUUCCCUUAAUGGCAAAAUCAGUUCAAAUACUGCCAAUUCCAUGCAUAAAGGCCUUCCUAUCCGAGAUUCCCUAAGACCAGAAAGAGAGGACUAGGCUACACUGAGGCGGAAAGAGAGGAACGAGCACUGCUAUAUCGUCUUCGCCGUCGUCGUUGUCGUUGCUUUGUCGUGGCCUGCCCCAAAUUAAUUUAUAAAUAGUUCGUUUGGGGGCAAGAACGCUUCCCCACUCGGCUGUUAUCUAUGAGAGGCGGUGUGAGAGGCGGCCGCAUAAAACAGCGAAAAGGAAAAACAAAAGACGAGCAUUUUGCAAAAUACAACAGAAAAAAAUUUGAAUUUUUGUACUAGCUGCUAAGAUCAAAACCUGAGUCAUGGGGGAAGGCGUUUUGGACACCAUUGGGAUGCCGAUGCCGAUGCCGAUGCCCAUGCCGAUGCCGAUGCCUUGAGGCUGCCAAUUGCCAACAUUUUCCUCAAUGAGCAAUUCUUCGCUGAGUUAUGCCACACGCAAUUGUGGUUACCAUCCAAAUUUUCCCAUAAACCAUGGGCCAGAGGGGGGCAGCGGUAGAGAGAGUAUGAAUGAAUAGGAACAGAGAGCUGUGUUUGAAUUUCAGCUAAAAUCUGCAACAUAUCAACAUGUUUUGGCCAACAUAUUUCUUGAACAAAUAAACUUAAAACCGGGCAAAUAUGCGGGAAUUUCAAGGCAGUA